CGAACGGGUGAGUAACACGUGAGUAACCUGCCCUCCACUCUGGGAUAACUCCGGGAAACCGGUGCUAAUACUGGAUAUGACUGCUGCUCGCAUGGGUGGUGGUGGAAAGAUUUAUCGGUGGUGGAUGGACUCGCGGCCUAUCAGCUUGUUGGUGGGGUAAUGGCCUACCAAGGCGACGACGGGUAGCCGGCCUGAGAGGGUGACCGGCCACACUGGGACUGAGACACGGCCCAG
rnacentral:rRNA from 1 species